GGGUCAAUGAUGACAACCCAAUUUCAUGAAGAGAGCUGAUGACAUCAAAAUAGUCAUCCAGGUGUACGCUGAGGCCC